UUUUAGGAAGCAGGCUCCAUCUCACAACCCUGAGAUUAUAACCUGAAGAGAGAUCAAGAGACGACCAACUAAGCCACCACCCAUGUGCUCAAGAAAGGUUAUGCUUGCUGCAGUAAAUCCUACUACUGUCCUUAGUCUGUGUGACUUUGGCUGAUGUCUCCCAAGGGUAUUAGAUCCAAAGAAUGGCUGGGUAUAGCACAUUCAGCUAUUUUUCAGGUCACAAUGGAACUGACAAAUUCGAAGACUAAGAGUAGGCAUGUGUGGCCGUGGUUAAAUGGCUCCUCCCUAGCUCCUUCUGGAGGCGUGCGCUAAGACCAGCAGCAGGGGUCAGAGGAACUAAAAACUGCUGUCCGGUACAGCAUUUAGUCUGGAGAAACCACUCCGUCAACUCAACAGGUCAUCUGGUUCCGUAAAAUGAAAAGCCUGCAGCACCCCAGUUACCUCCUUUUUUGGUUUAUCUCUUAAUGUGCCCUUAGGCCUACAUGAAAUGUCUGUAUGGUAGCCUGAUCCACCCUAAAACAGGCAAACGGCACAGAGGUAUCAGUCAGCCUCCCCUGUCUGCCUAGUCUCCCCCUUCCAGUCCUCCUUUUCAGAAAUAACCAUGGUUACCAAAUUCUCGGACGCUCCUAGGAUUACUUUAUGCACAUGGAAGCGUAAUAUGCACAUCUAUAAAAAAUCUC